UGUCCCGCGUCACACAACGCACGGAGCAGCGCGCUCAGCACCGCGUUUGAAGAGGUGCGCACCCACGAGAAGUCUCUGCUGCAGUCGGCAUCCUUGCAUCCGUUGCAGGCCUCUCCCUGCCUUGGGAGAGUGGAGAGAGCACACUCCACGGGACAGCCACGCCUUUAACAGAAUUCUCACACAACAUUACACCAUGAAAGCCUUCUUUAAGAGUUUGGUCUACAAAACUCUCGUCUCGGAGGCAUCGAAUACGCCUCUGGUGCAGCGCGUGGCGGAGAAGGCGGCUCGCAUGGAGCGCGACUUGACCAGCGAGAAGUUCGGGCUGUGGCUCGGCGCCGCUGCCCGUGAGGUCGCUAAUGACAUCCGCUCCAGCUACAAUGUAGUGCGCGCGUACCUCAACCGUGACGCAGUGCAGAAGCCGCAGCAGUCACUGUCGGCAGGGGGUGGGCAGGCGGGGACUGUCGGUCACGGCCCUAAGCCACCUGAAGGACGGUGAGUCCCGCAAACCGCGCACACUCACACAUACACACAGCGGAGCGUUUUAUUGCUUCUCUCAGAGACACACUGCGGCGUCAUUUGAGUGCUGCGCUCCGCUAAACGCAGGCGCGUGUGUCCUCUUUCCUCCCCUUUCCCCCCUCCCGUUUUCCGAGAGAGGGACCAUCCACGCAGUCCGCGAUUGCUGCUGCUACGGGGGAACGCACCACCGCACCCUUCCACAUCCCAUCUAGUAGUUCACGCUUGCUGCCAAGAAGCAUGCGGAGAGCAUGCCGAGGGAGAGAGGACAUGAGUGACCUGUUCAGCGCCCGCCUUCUGGAUCUGUGCGCUGGUCUUGCCUGCACUAUUACUGCCCCCCUUUUUCUUUCUUCUCCUGGCUCAUCUCUUCUGUGGAUGUCGGUCUUCAGGUGUGCACGUCUCUAGGUGUGGGUGUGGCGACACAUGCCUGAUCGGACCUCCCUUGGUGAAGCCGCACCGCUACCACCAACAUGACAGUUAACACCACCACCACCGAAAGCACGAUCCCUCCCUCUCGCUCUCACCACCGUCUCCCGCCUUUUAUCGUCUCUGCCGCUUCGCCCCCUCCCUUCCCAUUGCACCUCGCUCGCGUCACUCACCAUGACGAGAUGUGCAUCUGUGCCGCACUGCAGGCGUCCCCGACGUUCAUCGCCUUGAUCGGACAACAGCAGUGCCUGUCUGAUGCGACGGGGGGACGGGAAGGGAGGGAGUUGAGGGCUACACGCGUCCGACAAGGCGCAGGGGCCGCUUCCGUUAAUGCUGGCGGGGUCUCUUUGCUCUCUCCUGCUUCGCUGCCGCUCUCGCAACGGGGUGCCUAACUCUCUUCUCUUCUCCCAUCCACUCCUCUCCCCCCCUCUCAG
rnacentral:misc_RNA from 1 species